UACAGAGGUGGCAAGCGUUGUUCGGAAUUACUGGGCGUAAAGGGCGCGUAGGCGGUUCGUUAAGUCCUGUGUGAAAUCCCCCGGCUCAACUGGGGAACUGCACAGGAAACUAGCGGGCUUGAGUUCGGGAGAGGGAAGCGGAAUUCCGGGUGUAGCGGUGAAAUGCGUAGAUAUCUGGAGGAACACCGGUGGCGAAGGCGGCAUCCUGGACCGAUACUGACGCUGAGGAGCGAAAGCCAGGGGAGCAAACGGG
rnacentral:rRNA from 1 species